GAUGAACGCUGGCGGCGUGCCUAAUACAUGCCAGUCGAGCGAACGGACGAGAAGCUUGCUUCUCUGAUGUUAGCGGCGGACGGGUGAGUAACACGUGGAUAACCUACCUAUAAGACUGGGAUAACUUCGGGAAACCGUAGCUAAUACCGGAUAAUAUUUUGAACCACAUGGUUCAAAAGUGAAAGACGGUCUUGCUGUCACUUAUAGAUGGAUCCGCGCUGCAUUAGCUAGUUGGUAAGGUAACGGCUUACCAAGGCAACGAUGCAUAGCCGACCUGAGAGGGUGAUCGGCCACACUGGAACUGAGACACGGUCCAGACUCCUACGGGAGGCAGCAGUAGGGAAUCUUCCGCAAUGGGCGAAAGCCUGACGGAGCAACGCCGCGUGAGUGAUGAAGGUCUUCGGAUCGUAAAACUCUGUUAUUAGGGAAGAACAUAUGUGUAAGUAACUGUGCACAUCUUGACGGUACCUAAUCAGAAAGCCACGGCUAACUACGUG
rnacentral:rRNA from 1 species